rnacentral:rRNA from 1 species
GACGAACGCUGGCGGCGUGCUUAACACAUGCAAGUCGAACGGAAAGGCCCUGCUUUUGUGGGGUGCUCGAGUGGCGAACGGGUGAGUAACACGUGAGUAACCUGCCCUUGACUUUGGGAUAACUUCAGGAAACUGGGGCUAAUACCGGAUAGGAGCUCCUGCUGCAUGGUGGGGGUUGGAAAGUUUCGGCGGUUGGGGAUGGACUCGCGGCUUAUCAGCUUGUUGGUGGGGUAGUGGCUUACCAAGGCUUUGACGGGUAGCCGGCCUGAGAGGGUGACCGGCCACAUUGGGGCUGAGAUACGGCCCAGACUCCUACGGGAGGCAGCAGUGGGGAAUAUUGCACAGUGGGCGGAAGCCUGAUGCAGCAACGCCGCGUGCGGGAUGACGGCCUUCGGGUUGUAAACCGCUUUCGCCUGUGACGAAGCGUGAGUGACGGUAAUGGGUAAAGAAGCACCGGCUAACUACGUG